AUCUUGACAUUUCUAAAACCAUAGCCCACUCAUAUCCAUAAACACAAAUAAGCACUGGUGACCUUGGAGAGAAAAAAAAAUUAAGAUCAAAAUGCCUGUGUUCAUCCCUAGGAUUGAGUACAAGACUCUGGGUCCGAAUACAAUCGUCACCGAAAAUCAAAUAAGGGAAAUAUUGAGAAAAGCAGAUAGUAAUGGAGACGGUCGUUUGAGCAAAGAAGAACUUAAGAAAGCUUUCAAAGAAUUUGGAUCCAAGAUGCCCGGAUGGAGAGCAUGUCGUCUUCUAAGGAAAGCUGACACCAACCACGACGGAGUACUCACCAUGGAAGAACUUGACACCAUUGUUGAUUUUGCUCUUGCUAGGUACACAUUCAGGAAGUAAAUAUAUAUGCAUGAUAUGAUAUCAUCACGCCCAUAUGCCUUAAUCCCAAAGCAUCUAAAUGAGGCGCAUGUACGUCUAUAACUAAUUAUUUAUGGUAGAAUAAUAUGAGCUAGCAGGCUAUAUGAUCGGCCUCUACUUUGUAUAAUCAAAACUAGGAUAUAAUGGAAGCAUGUUUGCUUCUUGGUCGGGUAGAUAUCUUUACCAGUAUUAGGUUUAGGUCAUGUCAGAUGGAAUUGGUGUACAGUGCACUUGUCAAUCCAUCAAUAAGAGCAUGUCGUCUUCUAAGGAGAGCAGACGCCAACCACGAUGGAGUACUCACCAUCGAAGAACUUGACACCAUUGUUGAUUUUGCUCUUGCUAGGUACAAGUUCAGGAAGUAAAAAUGCAUGAUAUAAUAUCAUCACGCCCAUAUGCAAGCAAUAAUCGGGUUUUACUACACCCGAAAGCAUCUAAAUGAGGCGCAUGCAUGUUUAUAUAUGUACAUAUAAGCUAAUAAUAAUGGUAAAAGAUGAGCUACCUAUGAUGGAGAAUCAUGUUUGGUUGUUCCUCGGGUUGAUAACUUAAUCCGUAUUUAGGUUUAGGUCAAGUCUGAUCAAGUGAAUCUGACUUAUUUACUAAGGAUGCUUUUAGAAGUUGGAUCAAGUUAAGUUUCAGCUUAUCUUAUGAGAUAGUAUUUGUAUAAGUGUUUUCUUGUCGUAAUUUUUCAGAACUUAUUUUCAGGUUA